AAUCGACGACUCAGCUGCGCCAUAAGCACCCACACGAAUUGCUUGAUUCAUUGAAGAAGACGAUUAGAAGCAGCUUUAAGCUCCAAGCUGAUAGCUCAAUGCUAGCGGCUACAAGCUCGAAAUUGGGUCUGUAGCUCAGUUGGUUAGAGCGCACCCCUGAUAAGGGUGAGGUCGGCAGUUCGAAUCUGCCCAGACCCACCAAUUUUGUGUGGGAAACGCCUGUAGAAAUACGGGGCCAUAGCUCAGCUGGGAGAGCGCCUGCCUUGCACGCAGGAGGUCAGCGGUUCGAUCCCGCUUGGCUCCACCACUUACUGCUUCUGUUUGAAAGCUUAGAAAUGAGCAUUCCAUUGAUCCUGACGAUCAAUGCCUGAAUGUUGAUUUCUAGUCUUUGAUUAGAUCGUUCUUUAAAAAUUUGGGUAUGUGAUAGAAAGAAAUAUAGACCGGGCACCUCUUUCACUGGUGUGUGUCCGGGCUAAGGUAAAGUUUGUGAAAUGCAAACUUUCGGCGAAUGUCGUCUUCACAGUAUAACCAGAUUGCUUGGGGUUAUAU
rnacentral:tRNA from 1 species